GACGAACGCUGGCGGCGUGCUUAACACAUGCAAGUCGAACGGAAAGGCCCUGCUUUUGUGGGGUGCGCGAGUGGCGAACGGGUGAGUAACACGUGAGUAACCUGCCCUUGACUGUGGGAUAACUUCAUGAAACUGGGUCUAAUACCGGAUAGGAGCUCCUGCUGCAUGGUGGGGGUUGGAAAGUUUCGGCGGUUGGGGGUGGACUCGCGGCUUAUCGGCUUGUUGGUGUGGUAGUGGAUUACCAAGGCUUUGACGGGUAGCAGGGCUGGGAGGGUGACCGGCCCCAUUGGGACUGGGCUACGGCCCAGCCUCCUACGGGAGGGAGCGGUGGAGAAGAUUGCACUAUGGGCGGAAGCCUGAUGCAGCAACGCCGCGUGCGGGAUGACGGCAUUCGGGUUGUAAACCGCUUUCGCCUGUGACGAAGCGUGAGUGACGGUAACGGGUAAAGAAGCACCGGCUAACUACGUG
rnacentral:rRNA from 1 species